rnacentral:rRNA from 1 species
CGCCCAACAGCUAGCCCUCCCCCAAAACCUAACAACCCAUUAUUAAUUAACCCCAAACAUACCAACAAACCCUGAAACAAACCAUUUUUCCACCCCAGUAUAGGCGAUAGAAAAGGAAAAUACAGGAGCAAUAGAGAAAGUACCGCAAGGGAAAGCUGAAAGAGAAAUGAAACAACCCAGUUAAGCCUAAAAAAGCAGAGCUUCUACCUCGUACCUUUUGCAUCAUGAUUUAGCCAGUAACCCCAAGCAAAGAGCACUUUAGUUUGAUACCCCGAAACUAAGUGAGCUACUCCAAGACAGCCUAUUAAUAGGGCAAACCCGUCUCUGUGGCAAAAGAGUGGGAUGAGCUUUGAGUAGAGGUGACAGACCUACCGAACUUAGUUAUAGCUGGUUGCCUAGGAAACGGAUAGAAGUUCAGCCUCCCGGCUUCUUUACUCAUAUACGUCGCAACCCCCUUAUGACAUGUCAAGUAAACCGAGAGAGUUAGUCAAAGGGGGGACAGCCCCUUUGACACAAGACACAACUUUAACAAGAGGAUAAAGAUCAAAAUUACCUAAAGGUAAAAUGUUUUGGUGGGCCUAAAAGCAGCCAUCCCCCUAGAAAGCGUUAAAGCUCAAACAUCCCUACCAUUCCCUCCCUAUCCCGAUAAUAAAAUCUUAUUCCCCUAAUUUUACUAGGCCAUCCCAUUUUUUACCAUGGGAGAGAUUAUGCUAAUAUGAGUAAUAAGAGAGCCCCGUCUCUCUCCCCGCACAAGUGUAACUCGGAACGGACCCCCCACCGAACCUUACCGCCCCCAAACAAAGAGGGUAUUGAACUACAAAUAAAACAACUGGAAGACCCCCCAACAAUUAACCGUUAACCCCACACUGGUGUGCUCAUAAGGAAAGACUAAAAGAAAGAAAAGGAACUCGGCAAACACACAAGCCUCGCCUGUUUACCAAAAACAUCGCCUCUUGCAAUCAGUAAAUAAGAGGUCCCGCCUGCCCUGUGACUAUAUGUUUAACGGCCGCGGUAUUUUAACCGUGCAAAGGUAGCGCAAUCACUUGUCUCUUAAAUGGAGACCUGUAUGAAUGGCAUAACGAGGGCUAAGCUGUCUCCUCUUUCAAGUCAAUGAAAUUGAUUUCCCCGUGCAGAAGCGGGGAUAACCACAUAAGACGAGAAGACCCUAUGGAGCUUUAGACAAAAGGUAAAUUAUGUUAAUACCCCUCCCAUAUAAGAGGCUUAAACCAAAUAACCCUUACCUCAAUGUCUUUGGUUGGGGCGACCGCGGGGAAAUAAAAAACCCCCACGUGGAAAGGGAACACCCUUCCUACAAGUAAGAGCUCCCGCUCUAACAAACAAAAUUUUUGACCAAUAAGAUCCGGCAAUGCCGAUCAACGGACCGAGUUACCCUAGGGAUAACAGCGCAAUCCCCUUUUAGAGCCCAUAUCGACAAGGGGGUUUACGACCUCGAUGUUGGAUCAGGACAUCCUAAUGGUGCAGCCGCUAUUAAGGGUUCGUUUGUUCAACGAUUAAAGUCCUACGUGAUCUGAGUUCAGACCGGAGUAAUCCAGGUCAGUUUCUAUCUAUGACAUGAUCUUUUCUAGUACGAAAGGACCGAAAAGAGGAGGCCCCUGCUUAAGGUAUGCCUCUCCCCCACCUGAUGAAGACAACUAAAACAGGCAAAGGGGCAUAUCCUUAAUGCCUGAGAAAAUGGCAU